rnacentral:rRNA from 1 species
CGGGAAUAAGCAAUUAACCGAAGCAGCGUAUUCGCAGCAAUGCGAGUGGUAGAAGAGCGUUGCACUCAGCAUCGAAGCCGUACCGUAAGGAGCGGUGGAGCGUGUGCAAGUGAGAAUGCCGGUAUGAGUAACGAUAAUGCAGGUGAAAAUCCUGCACGCCGAAAACCUAAGGUUUCCUGGGGAAGGUAAAUCCGCCCAGGGUUAGUCGGGAGCUUAGACGAGGCCGAAGGGCGUAGUCGAUGCACAGCAGGUUAAUAUUCCUGCACCGAUCAUGAAGGUUGAACCAGACGUGCGCCUUAUUGACCAAGAGCCCCCGGCUAGACGUGGGGGUUUCGAAAGAUCGAGCCCGCUUUGUUGGCGAAGUCUUGCAAUAUGGGGCCGAGAAAAGCGUUCUGGGGACGACAUGAUUGUCCGUACUAAAACUGACACAGGUAGGUGAGGAGAGUAUCCUAAGGCGCUCGAGAGAACUGCGGUUAAGGAACUAGGCAAUCUAACCACGUAACUUCGGGAGAAGUGGUCCCUACUCGUAAGAGAGGGUGCAAAAAUCAGACUGGGCGACUGUUUAUCAAAAACACAGUUCUGUGCUAACUCGCAAGAGGAUGUAUACAGAAUGACGCCUGCUCGGUGCCGGAAUGUUAAGGAAGCUGGUCAGGACUUCGGUUCGAAGCUAGCGACUAAAGCACCGGUAAACGGCGGCCGUAACUAUAACGGUCCUAAGGUAGCGAAAUUCCUUGUCGGGUAAGUUCCGACCUGCACGAAUGGCGUAACGAUGGCCACACUGUCUCCUCCCGAGACUCAGCGAAGUUGAAGUGUUUGUGAUGAUGCAAUCUACCCGCGGCUAGACGGAAAGACCCCAUGAACCUUUACUGUAGCUUUGCAUUGGACUUUGAACCAAUCUGUGUAGGAUAGGUGGGAGGCUUUGAAACCGGGACGCUAGUUUCGGUGGAGCCGACCUUGAAAUACCACCCUGGUUUGUUUGAGGUUCUAACCUUGGCCCGUGAAUCCGGGUCGGGGACAGUGCAUGGUAGGCAGUUUGACUGGGGCGGUCUCCUCCCAAAGUGUAACGGAGGAGUUCGAAGGUACGCUAGGUACGGUCGGAAAUCGUGCUGAUAGUGCAAUGGCAUAAGCGUGCUUAACUGCGAGACCGACAAGUCGAGCAGGUGCGAAAGCAGGUCAUAGUGAUCCGGUGGUUCUGAAUGGAAGGGCCAUCGCUCAACGGAUAAAAGGUACUCUGGGGAUAACAGGCUGAUACCGCCCAAGAGUUCAUAUCGACGGCGGUGUUUGGCACCUCGAUGUCGGCUCAUCACAUCCUGGGGCUGUAGCCGGUCCCAAGGGUAUGGCUGUUCGCCAUUUAAAGUGGUACGUGAGCUGGGUUUAAAACGUCGUGAGACAGUUUGGUCCCUAUCUGCCGUGGGCGUUGGAAAUUUGAAGGGGGCUGCUCCUAGUACGAGAGGACCGGAGUGGACGAACCUCUGGUGUACCGGUUGUCACGCCAGUGGCAUUGCCGAGUAGCUAAGUUCGGAAGAGAUAACCGCUGAAAGCAUCUAAGCGGGAAACUCGUCUCAAGAUGAGUCUUGCCGGGGCCUUGAGCCCCCUGAAGGGUCGUUCGAGACCAGGACGUUGAUAGGCUGGGUGUGGAAGCGCAGUAAUGCGUUAAGCUAACUGAUACUAAUUGCCCGUGAGGCUUGACCCU